ensembl:lncRNA
CUUCUAUUCUGUGCCACCUCAUUUCUGUACUGUCUUCCCCUUGCUCUUGAAUCUACUCAGAUGGACACAUGGGUCUGGGCUGGCUGUCAAUUUGUGAUGUAUCCCAUGUGGGCUUAAACUAGUGAUCCUUCUGCCUCAGCCUCUGGAGUACUGGGAUUAUAGAUGCCUUGAUGUGCUCAGUUUCCUUUGAUAUGUACUUUCACCAUGAUGUGCUGCUCUGACACAGCCCCAAAGCUCUGAUGGCAGCCUCCAGUACAAUGUUGAGUAGAAGUGGCAAGAAUGAGCAUCUUUCUCUGAUUUUCUAUGUUCAAAAAACAGUGAAUUCUAAUCACAGUCACAGGAGCACAGAAUAGGACCCUUCUCCAUGUGAGCCUUCAGUGCACAGUCAAGCCCUGACCAUGACCACAUCUGGAUUCCUCACCCCGAAGAAGCUGUGAGUCAUGAGUGUUAGGGUUUCAGCCACUUGAUCAUAUGGUAAUACGUUACACAGUCACAAAACCUGUCAGGAAAUCAAAUGCAUUAACCCACUUGAACCUAGAAUGAAUCCUGAAAUGGAAAGAAGUGAUAUUUUGACAAAAGCAAGAAAACAGGCAGUUCUAUGUUUAGUUAGUAUUUCUGUAACACUGUCAAUUUCAGUUCAUGUAACACGCUCUGGUUAGGUAAGGUGUUCAGAUUUUAGGAAGGUGAAAGAUACAAAAAACAGCCAGUACCAAGUUGAAGCUUUAGGUAAAGGUACAAUUACUUUAAAUUAAUAUUCUUCAUGUGACACUGAAUCCCACAACUCUCCUCCCCCAACACAUUAAAAGGCCUGUGGUCCUCAGGAAGUAAAUUGACACAUAGUGAGAAUCUCAGAGCAGCUUCUGUUACUGCCUACCAUUCUGAAGACAGGAGUCUCAGCUUCAGGAGACUCCUUCAAGCUCCUGUAACACCCCUCCUAUUUUUUCUAUCCCACCAUAAGCCCUUUAUCAGUCACCUAUUUGAAUCCCAGCAGCUACUUAUUCAAAUACACAAUCCAUUAACUAACCUGGACCCAAAACUCCAUUUUUGAAUAAUGUGUGAUAAUUAUUAUGAGUAUCCUGCUGAUACUUUUUUCAAAUUUAUGACCUCUGAACAAAAAAGAGUUUUAUGCAACUGUCAGGUAUCCAUUUCUUUAUCCAAACACUUGAAAAAAUAAACUUCCAAAGAGCAUUAUUUUAGUUAACAACUCUGGAGGUAGCAGGUCAUAGUCAGAUGGAUCCAUUGCUUUUAGGCCAGUGGUGAGGAAGUCCAUGCCAAGGGGCAUUCAACACUCAAAGCUGCUCAUCUCAUGACCAGGAUGGAAAAAUAGGGGAAGAUGACCAGGGUCCCAAAGUCCCCUUGAGGUCAUUACCCCAGGGAGUAAAACAUUGCACCAGCCUCUACCUCUUAGAGUUUCCACUCCCUCCCAAUACUGCCAAGCUGGAACCAGGCCUGUAACACGUGGGCUUCUGUGGGACAAACGAUGGCACCAUGAUUGAGAACUGCCAGGAAACACCAUGCAAACAGAAACCACCAUUCUGGAUUCAGCAGAAUAUUUUUUUACCAGGGUUACCUUCUUAAAUUUUCAAAA